GAUCCUGGAAGCUGGCCCUGAACAAUCGAGGACCAAUUAAUUCCCUGGUGACACUUUGUGGCGGAGCUCCUCCCACUUGUAGGACAGGUCCCAGAGAGGAAGCUUCAAGGCUUCGGUCCAAGGAAGAAUGCAUGCAUGAACACGGCAGCCGCCAUUCCUUCACCUCUGUUUAUCGAGCAACAUGUGGAUGUUCCAGCAUUCCUGGGAACCUGAAACAGGAGACUUGCCAAGAAUCUCUUGUAGGCCAGCUAGCCUGGAGUCCACAACACAGCAGCAGCCGAAACCAGAAAGACUCAGAGGUGGAAGGAACCAGAGCUUACAAGCACCCUGAGUCAUCUUUCAGGAGUUCCAGAUUACUGAAGCAGCCUCAGUCCACCCACACCUUGAAAGGAAGGUAAUGAAGUUGUAUGCAAUAGCAAUACUGCCGAAUUAAACGAAUAGACACACGAUAGAUAAUACAGGAGAACGGAUAAAUGUGAAGUCUUCUUUUCCUUCCAAUGCUGAGGAUUGAACCUAAGACCCUGUGUACUCUACUCAACCACUGAGUGAAUACUUCCACUGGACUGGAGAAAGCUAUGAAGGCAUCGUGGGAGAGCUAGUAUGAGCUGAGCCCCAAAGUACCCAGUAGAUGUUGAGAAGGCAUUCCAGACCAAAGACGCAAAGCAUCCAUCCCAUCAGUGUCUAAGCUGGAGCAGCAAAAUGACCAUGGGGAGAGAAACCUCCACAGUAGGACAGAGGCGGUGGAAGCUGGAAGCUCACUGGCGGAUCGGGAGCCAACCGCUCCAGCUUUCCCAGGUGACUUCUGCUGGCAUUUUGUAAGCCCCAGAUUUAAUUGGUGUCUCCAUCAAGCUACUCUAGUCCUCCCUGCUGGAUGCAAUAAACUCCUGUUUCAACGUCUUGCUGUCCGUCUGCAGCUUCGAUCUAUCUGCCACUCCACUUGCUGUUUGUUCUUUUACUUUUGCUUGCUAUGUACUUAAUAAGAUCACUCACUCAAAACCAAAAGUACAGCUAUGCAGAUCGUUCUCCAAACUAUACAAAAUUGGGAGAUGCAGGUAGGAGGAGUUUCAAGGUCACCCUAGCCCACAUACAUUAAUAUGUAAACAUGCGUGCUUAUUUGUAUAACUUAUAUAAAUAUAUGCAAAUAAGCAAAUAGUGCUAUAAAGGAAACUGAUGAGUAGUCAAUUGGAAAGAUACAUCAGGUGAGGUACAGGGGUGGGGCAGGAGUUCCUAUGUGGUUUCUGUACUAGGUAUCCUCUCAGAACCUUCCUGUGUUUCCCCAAGCCACAUGCCCGCUGAGUAGCACUGUGCUGAGUUCACAAUGGCGGCUCCAUUAUAUAGACAUCAUGCAGGCAUCAUAUACGGCCUUCUGUGAUGCACUCAAUCUGUAGCCGUCCUUCCCAUCUCAGCAUCUGGGCACCGAGGCUGAAAAUCCCAACCAUCUGGCCUCAGACCCCAUUCUCCUGAGCCUCCUCAUUAACAUAAACUCAGACACACGGAGAAGGAUGAGCACAUCUGUCUACAGCAGAGGACCAGUUUCUCCUGCAUAGGAUCCAGCAAGAGUAACAGAAAGGGCAUCUGGAUACUCCCAUACGGCCCUGGCUUGACUGAGGCGGAUUGCCAGAGGAACACAGCCUGAGUGGGGUCCAUCCACACAAGAUCCUUGCUCCUAGAACUGCGUUAGGGCUGUUAGCUUUUCCUUUGCUCGGUUCAGGCCACCUCGUCCAUGGCAGUAUGACACCAGGGAAAGGCAGCUCCGUACACUGCCUCACCCCUCUGAAGUCAGUCCGUAGACUUGGAAUAGUUUUUCCAGCCAGGCCUUACCGUGUGCCAAAAACCCAUCCCUGGUUUACCAUAUCUCUUCCUUUGCAUCCCAAGACCUUUGUUCUCUUCCACUGCUGCCUCACCAGCCUGCCAGUAACUUGCCUCCUUUGAUAACAAAUGCUUUGUCUUACUAGGGCGUUAUCAUUUCGCAUGCCUGGCUCCAGUGUGAUACGUGCUCAAUAAACGUUGUGGAACACACGGAUGGGAUACAGCAUCUCCUGGUGAAGCCCAGGAGAGCAAGUGCUCCUUCGCUAGAAUUGGUAUAGAUGGGGACUUUAUCAAUAUGUAUCCUCUUUAGGAUCUAGCAGCCACUGCGCUUGUCCCAGGUUGGCGCCCCAGCUUUUCUCAGGCCCCGGCCCUCACCCCCACCCCCACUCCCCUGUUACUACUUCACUACCUCCUAGGGGCCUCAAGCCCCUUCUUUUUCAGGUUUACAUUCGCCUCAUCCAUUUCCAGAGUUGCUGCCUGUUUGGCUUCAGACCCCGAAUGAGGGGCUGAGGUGAAUACUUUACACAUCAAAGCAACCUGGCCCCCAGCUUCUCCCAGCAUCCCCAAGUCCCUACUUUUCAAACCCUGCCUUGAACUUUCCAACCCAGGUGCUGGGCUGCCCUUCCUCCAAGGCUCCUCCCUAUAUAAUCUAGACAUUUUGGUCUUGCCCUCUCUUUUCUUCUCCUCUUCUCUCUCUGCAUACAUGCCCUUCCCUCUCUCUCUCCCUCACUCCCCUACCCUCUCACCCAUGUUUCCCCAUGGCAACUUCCCUAGCCAUGUCCUUGGGGCCAGUGAACUCACCUGCUUCCCAAUAAACCUGCCUUUAAUGUAAUCUAA